GGUAUUUGCGGUAAUCUGAAGGAGAAGAGACAUUAUGAGGCAACUACACUUUGCACAUGGAAGGCCACACUGGAUGUCACCUCCUCCCCAGGGUCCCACAGACUUGCUGGCCUCCCCUCGGCUCUCCAUUGAUUUUUCAGAGCUGGAUCUAACAGAGCCUCCUCACCUCCAGUCUUCAAGCUGCUCCAGUUUCCAACAAGCAUUCAUGGGUCUAGGAAUCAAGGGGCAGAAGUGGAAGUGGCACCACUUACCAUCACCCCUAGUGACCCACUAGCAAAAUAUUUGCUUCCUGUUCCCAUGACUUUGUGCCUUGCUGGCCUAGAGGCCUUAGUUCCAGAGAAAAGAAUGCUUCCUUCAGGAGACACAACAAUGAGUCCGUUGAACUGGAAGUUAAGACUGCCACCCGACUGCUUUGGGUUCUUCAUGCCUCUGGGUCAUCAGGCCAGGAAGGGAAUUAUGGUGUUGGCUGGCAUGUUGAUCUUGACUACCAAGGGAAAAUUCUACUACUACACCACAAUAGAGGUAAGGAAGAGUAUGUCUAGAAUACAGAAGAUCCCUUAGGGCAU
rnacentral:lncRNA from 10 species